rnacentral:rRNA from 1 species
AUUGAACGCUGGCGGCAGGCCUAACACAUGCAAGUCGAGCGGUAACAGGAAGAAGCUUGCUUCUUUGCUGACGAGUGGCGGACGGGUGAGUAAUGUCUGGGAAACUGCCUGAUGGAGGGGGAUAACUACUGGAAACGGUAGCUAAUACCGCAUAACGUCGCAAGACCAAAGAGGGGGACCUUCGGGCCUCUUGCCAUCGGAUGUGCCCAGAUGGGAUUAGCUAGUAGGUGGGGUAACGGCUCACCUAGGCGACGAUCCCUAGCUGGUCUGAGAGGAUGACCACCCACACUGGAACUGAGACACGGUCCAGACUCCUACGGGAGGCAGCAGUGGGGAAUAUUGCACAAUGGGCGCAAGCCUGAUGCAGCCAUGCCGCGUGUAUGAAGAAGGCCUUCGGGUUGUAAAGUACUUUCAGCGGGGAGGAAGGGAGUAAAGUUAAUACCUUUGCUCAUUGACGUUACCCGCAGAAGAAGCACCGGCUAACUCCGUG